CCUACGUGUGGCUGCAGUGAGGAAUAUUGGUCAAUGGGCGGAAGCCUGAACCAUCCAAGUAGCGUGCAGGAUGACGGCCCUACGGGUUGUAAACUGCUUUUAUACGGGAAUAACGCGCCUUACGUGUAGGGCUUUGCAUGUACCGUAUGAAUAAGGACCGGCUAAUUCCGUGCCAGCAUCCGCGGUAAUACGGAAGGUCCGGGCGUUAUCCGGAUUUAUUGGGUUGAAAGGGAGCGUAGGCCGCAUGUCAAGCGUGCUGUGAAAUGUCCGGGCUCAACCCGGGCCUUGCAGCGCGAACUGGCGUGCGUGAGUCCGCGGAAAGCAGGCGGAAUUCGUCGUGUAGCGGUGAAAUGCUUAGAUAUGACGAAGAACACCGAUUGCGAAGGCAGCUUGCUGCAGCGGAACUGACGCUGAUGCUCGAAAGCGCGGGUAUCGAACAGGAGUAGAUACCCGGGUAGUC
rnacentral:rRNA from 1 species